ACCUGUCUCGAAAGUGACUGUGGAGUGUCGUCUCCAGGUCAUCGAAGCACAGGGAGAGAAACUGAAAGUGUUUCCCGUGUUUGCUGGAUUCUGUUCCUGACGAACCCUGAAUCUUUCGCACA